rnacentral:rRNA from 1 species
CCUACGGGUGGCAGCAGUGGGGAAUAUUGCACAAUGGGGGAAACCCUGAUGCAGCGACGCCGCGUGAGUGAAGAAGUAUUUCGGUAUGUAAAGCUCUAUCAGCAGGGAAGAAAAUGACGGUACCUGACUAAGAAGCCCCGGCUAACUACGUGCCAGCAGCCGCGGUAAUACGUAGGGGGCAAGCGUUAUCCGGAUUUACUGGGUGUAAAGGGAGCGUAGACGGCCAGACAAGUCAGAAGUGAAAGCCCAGGGCUCAACCCUGGGACUGCUUUUGAAACUGCCGGGCUGGAGUGCAGGAGGGGCAGGCGGAAUUCCUGGUGUAGCGGUGAAAUGCGUAGAUAUCAGGAGGAACACCGGCGGCGAAGGCGGCCUGCUGGACCGCGACUGACGUUGAGGCUCGAAAGCGUGGGGAGCGAACAGGAUUAGAUACCCUGGUAGUC